rnacentral:tRNA from 1 species
GCCGGCGUAGCUCAGUGGCAGAGCAGCUGAUUCGUAAUCAGCAGGUCAUGGGUUCAAGUCCCAUUGCCGGCU